rnacentral:rRNA from 1 species
UCCGAAGGGGGCUAGCGUUGUUCGGAAUCACUGGGCUUAAAGGGCGCGUAGGCGGGUUCGCACGUCAGGGGUGAAAUCUUUCAGCUUAACUGGAAAACAGCCCCUGAUACUGCGAGUCUCGAGGGAGGUAGGGGCAUGUGGAACUUCCGGUGGAGCGGUGAAAUGCGUAGAUAUCGGAAGGAACGCCGGUGGCGAAAGCGACGUGCUGGACCUCUUCUGACGCUGAGGCGCGAAAGCUAGGGGAGCAAACGGG